UAGGGAAUCUUCGGCAAUGGACGAAAGUCUGACCGAGCAACGCCGCGUGAGUGAAGAAGGUUUUCGGAUCGUAAAACUCUGUUGUUAGAGAAGAACGUUGCAUAGAGUGGAAAAUUAUGCAAGUGACGGUAUCUAACCAGAAAGGGACGGCUAACUACGUGCCAGCAGCCGCGGUAAUACGUAGGUCCCGAGCGUUGUCCGGAUUUAUUGGGCGUAAAGCGAGCGCAGGUGGUUUAAUAAGUCUGAUGUAAAAAGGCAGUGGCUCAANCAUUGUGUGCAUUGGAAACUGUUAGACUUGAGUGCAGUAGAGGAGAGUGGAAUUCCAUGUGUAGCGGUGAAAUGCGUAGAUAUAUGGAGGAACACCGGUGGCGAAAGCGGCUCUCUGGACUGUCACUGACACUGAGGCUCGAAAGCGUGGGUAGCAAACAGGAUUAGAUACCCUGGUAGUCCACGCCGUAAACGAUGAGUGCUAGUUGUUUGGGGCUACCCAGCCCUAAGUGACGCAGCAAACGCAUUAAGCACUCCGCCUGGGGAGUACGACCGCAAGGUUGAAAC
rnacentral:rRNA from 1 species